rnacentral:lncRNA from 1 species
AAAGAUAUUUUGGAGUGUGGUAACAGAAUCAAAAGUGAACUUGAGGAAGAAAAAAAGUAUCAGACAAAAUAUCUAAAUACAGCACUUGCAUUUGACAUUCCUGCAUUCUUAUCUUAAAUGCAAUUUUCUUCCAGGUAAUAGCAUUUGCUAUGAAUGCAAAAGUUAUGGCUGAGCAGGCACUUUUUGUAUCUGGAGGUUUGGGACCACCUCCUCCUGGGUACAUUAACUCUAAGAAGGAAGAGAACCAGGUCAAUCAUUUCUCAACAUGAUGUCAGUCAUUGUAUU